rnacentral:rRNA from 1 species
CCUGGUUGAUCUGCCAGUAGUCAUGCUUGUCUCAAAGAUUAAGCCAUGCAUGUCUCAGUUCAGGCCCUAGUACGGUGAAACCGCGAAUGGCUCAUUAAAUCAGCUAUGGUUUAUUGGAUCGUACCCGUUAAGUGGAUAACUGUAAUAACUCUAGAGCUAAUACAUGCCUCGAUGCCCUGACUCUGUCGGCCUGCUGCUGCUUGCCUGUGUGUAGGUGGCGGCAGGCAGGCAGGCGUGGGUGCACUUAUUAGAUCAGAAGCCAACCAACUGCUCGAGCGUUGCGUGUGCAGUCCGCUGCUGUAGGCGUGCGUGCGGGCUGAGAGGAACCGCAUCUGGUGACUCUGGAUAAUUGUUACAGAUCGCAGUCGGCCUUGAGUCGCGACGGUCCUUCAAAUGUCUGCCCUAUCAACUGUCGAUGGUAGGUGACCUGCCUACCAUGGUGAUAACGGGUAACGGGGAAUCAGGGUUCGAUUCCGAGAGGAGCCUGAGAAACGGCUACCACUUCCAAGGAGCAGCAGGCGCGCAAAUUACCCACUCCCGCACGGAGGUGUGACGAAAAAUACCGAUGCGGGACUCCCUCAAGAGGCUCCGUAAUCGGAAUGAGUGACUCUAAAUCCUUCACGAGGAUCAAUUGAGGCAAGUCUGGUGCCAGCAGCCGCGGUAACUCCAGCUCCAAUAGCGUAUAUUAAAGUUGCUGCAGUUAAAAAGCUCGUAGUUGGAUCUCGGUAGCAUUGUUGCCUGCUGGUGACUGAGCGGCCGGUGUGUGGCCAACGGUGCGCGGUCGCGUCGGCACACGUCUGCGUGUGGCGUUGGUGAGCGCGGUUCGGUUGGUAGGUUGGCAGGCGAGCUGGCUGGUCGUUGUCGCCGCAACUGCGGCUGGCUGCUGCUGGCUGGCUGACUGGCUAGCGGUGGGUUGCGGCGACGGCUGGUGGUUUGCUUGCUGGGCUGGCUGGUGCGAUGCUGCACUACUACUGCUUGCGUGCAGUGAGCGUGUUGCAGGAUUGUGUUGCCGUGGCCAUGAAGAAGCACUGUCGUUCAAGCUGGCAAGCGAUGGUGUCACCUUUGAGCCAUGUCUGUGUGUAACAGCUACAGGUGUGACGGGUGUUGGGCAGCGCUCUGCACACGUUGUGAGUCUGUCGGCUCGUCUGCAUGCCUUUGGAUGCCUUAAAAAGGUGUCUGCGGCGGAUGGCACGUUUACUUUGAACAAAUUUGAGUGCUCAAAUCAGGCCGAUGUUGCCUGAAAGUUUUGCAUGAAUAAUGAAUAGGACUUCGUUCUAUUUCGUUGGUUUUCGGAUCCGAAGUAAUGAUCAAAAGAGACAGGCGGGGACGUUUGUAUGCUGCGCUAAGGUGAAAUUCAUGGACCGUAGCCAGACAGACUAAAGCGAAAGCAUUCGUCAAGCAUGUUUUCAUUGCCAUGAGCGAAAGUCAGAGCUCGAAGACGAUCAGAUACCGUCCUAGUUCUGACCAUAAACGAUGCCAACUGACGAUCCGUGGUGGUAGUAGUGUUACCUUCCCCACGGCAGUCCCCGGGAAACCUUUAAGUGUUGGGUUCCGGGGAAGUAUGGUUGCAAAGCUGAAACUUAAAGGAAUUGACGGAAGGGCACCACCAGGAGUGGAGCCUGCGGCUUAAUUUGACUCAACACGGGAAAACUCACCCGGCCGGACACUGUGAGGAUUGACAGAUUGAGAGCUCUUUCUUGAUUUGGUGGUUGGUGGUGCAUGGCCGUUCUUAGUUGGUGGAGCGAUUUGUCUGGUUAAUUCCGAUAACGAACGAGACUCCAACCUGCUAAUUAGUGCGUUUGUCCACUGCGCCUGCGUAGGUGACGCUGGAUGACACCACCUGUCACGAGACGUGGCAGCGGCUCUUCUCUCCCUUCUCCGCUCGAAUGCCCUCCAGCGCCUCCUCCUCCUCCUCCUCCUCUCCUCCCCCUUCUUCAGCGCCUCAUCUGCCGCUGGCUGCUGGCCGGUGAGCGUGUGCGGUGCGUGGUGAGGGCGAUGGUGGGAUGGUGCGGGUGGGCGAGUGGAUUGUGGUGAGCGUGGGUUGGGUGCGGCGCUCGUGGCCGGUUAGUCUGGCGUUGGCCUCCGGUGUGGCGCGAAUGCCUACUUCUUAGAGGGACAAGCGGGAAAGCCGCACGAAAUAGAGCAAUAAACAGGUCUGUGAUGCCCUUAGAUGUCCGGGCCGCACGCGCGCUACAAUGACGGUGUCAGCGAGUCAGGCCUUCUGGCCCGAAAGGUUGGGCAAACUGGUCAAUCACCGUCGUGACAGGAUCGGGCUUGGAAUUGUUCCCCGUGAACGAGGAAUUCCUAGUAAGUGCAAGUCAUAAGCUUGCGCUGAUUACGUCCCUGCCCUUUGUACACACCGCCCGUCGCUACUACCGAUUGAAUGGUUUAGUAAGGUCCUCGAUUGGCGUCAUUGCGACGGUGGCCGAGAGGUCACAGCCCGAGGCGCUGAGAAGACGACCGAACUUGAUCAUUUAGAGAAGUAAAAGUCGUAACAAGGUUUCCGUAGGUGAACCUGCGAAG